rnacentral:rRNA from 1 species
GACGAACCGUGCGAACGUUAUUCGGAAUCACUGGGCUUAAAGCGCGUGUAGGCGGGAGGGCACGUCCGUCGCUGAAAUCCCCCGGCUCAACCGGGGAACGGGCGCGGAUACGACCUUCCUGGAGGGGCGUAGGGGGACCUGGAACUUCCGGUGGAGCGGUGAAAUGCGUUGAGAUCGGAAGGAACGCCCGUGGCGAAAGCGAGGUCCUGGACGCCUACUGACGCUGAGACGCGAACGCCAGGGGAGCGAACGGG